ACGAACGCUGGCGGCAUGCCUAAUACAUGCAAGUCGAACGAGACCUUCGGGUCUAGUGGCGCACGGGUGCGUAACGCGUGGGAAUCUGCCCUUGGGUUCGGAAUAACAGUUAGAAAUGACUGCUAAUACCGGAUGAUGACGUAAGUCCAAAGAUUUAUCGCCCAAGGAUGAGCCCGCGUAGGAUUAGCUUGUUGGUGAGGUAAAAGCUCACCAAGGCGACGAUCCUUAGCUGGUCUGAGAGGAUGAUCAGCCACACUGGGACUGAGACACGGCCCAGACUCCUACGGGAGGCAGCAGUAGGGAAUAUUGGACAAUGGGCGAAAGCCUGAUCCAGCAAUGCCGCGUGAGUGAUGAAGGCCUUCGGGUUGUAAAGCUCUUUCGGGUGUGAAAAUGAUGAUGGUAACACCAGAAGAAGCCCCGGCUAACUCCGU
rnacentral:rRNA from 1 species